AAACCGCAUGGUUUUGAUUUGAAAGGCGCUUUCGGGUGUCGCUGAUGGAUGGACCCGCGGUGCAUUAGCUAGUUGGUGAGGUAACGGCUCACCAAGGCCACGAUGCAUAGCCGACCUGAGAGGGUGAUCGGCCACAUUGGGACUGAGACACGGCCCAAACUCCUACGGGAGGCAGCAGUAGGGAAUCUUCGGCAAUGGACGAAAGUCUGACCGAGCAACGCCGCGUGAGUGAAGAAGGUUUUCGGAUCGUAAAACUCUGUUGUUAGAGAAGAACAAGGAUGAGAGUAACUGUUCAGACCUUGACGGUAUCUAACCAGAAAGCCACGGCUAACUACGUGCCAGCAGCCGCGGUAAUACGUAGGUGGCAAGCGUUGUCCGGAUUUAUUGGGCGUAAAGCGAGCGCAGGCGGUUUCUUAAGUCUGAUGUGAAAGCCCCGGCUCAACCGGGGAGGGUCAUUGGAAACUGGGAGACUUGAGUGCAGAAGAGGAGAGUGGAAUUCCAUGUGUAGCGGUGAAAUGCGUAGAUAUAUGGAGGAACACCAGUGGCGAAG
rnacentral:rRNA from 1 species